CUUUGGUGUGGCUGCAAGCAGCAGUUGUUGACGGGUGCAAUGCAAACAAGAACUUAUGUGACAGUUACUCACCACCGUGUUGCUCAAAUUCGGUAUGCGUGAUAGUUCCUAGUGUGGGUAAUAGAUGCAUGGACAAAGGGGACAUCUGCAGGACAGACCCUGAUGGUGUCCAGAUAUGUCUAAGUCCUGCAUACCAUUAAAGGAGAUAAUCAAUCAUGGUCUCGAAUUGACGAGGACUUUAAAGUGUUUCAGGGAUACAAGCUUUAACGACAAAGGUUAAAUGCCGAGUGGAUUGUACCCAAAAAUUCUGAAACUAUAAUGAUUGUUCUACUUAUGAUUGAUCAGUAAACUGAAAGUUACUUUCUGUCUUUGCUUUGCUUAUUGUAUCAACCAAUGUCCAUGGCAAGUAAAAUAAGUGUGAAUCAUGUGUGUGGGUGUCUUAAAAGCGUCUGAUCCUA